AGUGAACGCUGGCGGUAGGCCUAACACAUGCAAGUCGAACGGCAGCACAGUAAGAGCUUGCUCUUACGGGUGGCGAGUGGCGGACGAGUGAGGAAUACAUCGGAAUCUACUUUUUCGUGGGGGAUAACGUAGGGAAACUUACGCUAAUACCGCAUACGACCUACGGGUGAAAUCAGGGGAUCUUCGGACCUUUCGCGAUUGAAUGAGCCGAUGUCGGAUUAGCUAGUUGGCGGGGUAAAGGCCCACCAAGGCGACGAUCCGUAGCUGGUCUGAGAGGAUGAUCAGCCACACUGGAACUGAGACACGGUCCAGACUCCUACGGGAGGCAGCAGUGGGGAAUAUUGGACAAUGGGCGCAAGCCUGAUCCAGCCAUACCGCGUGGGUGAAGAAGGCCUUCGGGUUGUAAAGCCCUUUUGUUGGGAAAGAAAAGCAGCAGGUUAAUACCCCGCUGUUCUGACGGUACCCAAAGAAUAAGCACCGGCUAACUUCGUG
rnacentral:rRNA from 1 species